UAACACUAAAAUGUAAAUCAUAUCUUUUAAAAUUUUGCGAUGGUAUCCGUUAUAUAUUUAUAAAAUAAAAAUCUACCCGCACGGAUGUGCGGGUGAAAAAUCUAGUACCAAUUAUAAGGAAUCCAUUUUGAAAUGAAGAACGUAAAAAGUAACUGUAUGAGAGAAAUGCAUUUAAGAAAUAAAAAAUGUAGAUAUUACUCGUUCCGUUCAUUAACGAUAAUUUUUUAAGAGAAUGAACACAAUUAACCGGAACCAAAAAACUGAACUGUACCUAAUCGGAGAACGAAACUAAAACCGGACCAAAUUUCUUAAAUAUCCGAUCGGAUCUUAUAUUUCUGGAGACAGAAAUAAAAAAAAUAAACUAAAGCCUAACCAAAAAUAACCAUUUGGUAUGUUUUAUAUAUAACCAUUUCAUAUGAACCAAAUUUCUUAAAUAUCCGAUAGGAUCUUAUAUUUCUGGAACCAAAAAUAGAAAAAACAAACUAAAGCCUAACAGAAAAUAACCAUUUGGUAUGUUUUAUAUAUAACCAUUUCAUAUGAA
rnacentral:lncRNA from 1 species